CCUACGGGAGGCAGCAGUGAGGAAUAUUGGACAAUGGUCGGAAGACUGAUCCAGCCAUGCCGCGUGCAGGAUGAAGGUCCUAUGGAUUGUAAACUGCUUUUGUAAGGGAAGAAUAAGGAGUACGUGUACUUUGAUGACGGUACCUUACGAAUAAGCAUCGGCUAACUCCGUGCCAGCAGCCGCGGUAAUACGGAGGAUGCGAGCGUUAUCCGGAAUCAUUGGGUUUAAAGGGUCCGUAGGCGGGCUGAUAAGUCAGAGGUGAAAGCGCUUAGCUCAACUAAGCAACUGCCUUUGAAACUGUCAGUCUUGAAUGAUUGUGAAGUAGUUGGAAUGUGUAGUGUAGCGGUGAAAUGCUUAGAUAUUACACAGAACACCGAUAGCGAAGGCAUAUUACUAACAAUUUAUUGACGCUGAUGGACGAGAGCGUGGGGAGCGAACAGGAUUAGAUACCCUGGUAGUCCACGCUGUAAACGAUGGAUACUAGCUGUUUGGUUGUUAAGACUGAGUGGCUAAGCGAAAGUGAUAAGUAUCCCACCUGGGGAGUACGCACGCAAGUGUGAAACUCAAAGGAAUUGACGG
rnacentral:rRNA from 1 species